AUUGAACGCUUGCGGCAGGCCUAACACAUGCAAGUCGAACGAGUGGCGUACGGGUGAGUAAUGUCUGGGAAACUGCCUGAUGAAGGGGGAUAACUACUGGAAACGGUAGCUAAUACCGCAUACCAUCGGAUGUGCCCAGAUGUGAUUAGCUAGUAGGUGGGGUAAAGCGUCACCUAGGCGACGAUCCCUAGCUGGUCUGAGAGGAUGACCAGCCAACCUGGAACUGAGACACGGUCCAGAACCCUACGGGAGGCAGCAGUGGGGAAUCUUGCACAAUGGGCGAAGGCCGUAUGCAGCCAUGCCGCGUGUAUGAAGAAGGCCUUCGGGUUGUAAAGUACUUUCAGCGGGGAGGCGUUACCCGCAGAAGAAGCACCGGCUAAAUCCGUGCCAGCAGCCGCGGUAAUUC
rnacentral:rRNA from 1 species